AACGAACGCUGGCGGCAUGCCUAACACAUGCAAGUCGAACGAGACCUUCGGGUCUAGUGGCGCACGGGUGCGUAACGCGUGGGAACCUGCCCUUAGGUUCGGAAUAACUCCCCGAAAGGGGUGCUAAUACCGGAUAAUGUCUUCGGACCAAAGAUUUAUCGCCUUUGGAUGGGCCCGCGUUGGAUUAGCUAGUUGGUAGGGUAAAAGCCUACCAAGGCGACGAUCCAUAGCUGGUCUGAGAGGAUGAUCAGCCACACUGGGACUGAGACACAGCCCAGACUCCUACGGGAGGCAGCAGUGGGGAAUAUUGGACAAUGGGCGAAAGCCUGAUCCAGCAAUGCCGCGUGAGUGAUGAAGGCCUUAGGGUUGUAAGGCUCUUUUACCCGGGAUGAUAAUGACAGUACCGGGAGAAUAAGCGCCGGCUAACUCCGUG
rnacentral:rRNA from 1 species